rnacentral:pre_miRNA from 2 species
AGAGUUCAACUGAGCCAAGGAUGAAUUGCCGGCCGGCAUGAUCAAGUUAAUUAGUAAUGGCAUAUGCAUGAAUAGCAUUGUCGGCAAUCGUUACUUGGCUACGUUGGAGUCUCU